rnacentral:rRNA from 1 species
UACGUAGGGUGCGAGCGUUAAUCGGAAUUACUGGGCGUAAAGCGUGCGCAGGCGGUUUUGUAAGCCAGAUGUGAAAUCCCCGGGCUUAACCUGGGAAUGGCAUUUGGGACUGCAAGGCUGGAGUUUGGCAGAGGAGACUGGAAUUCCUGGUGUAGCAGUGAAAUGCGUAGAUAUCAGGAGGAACACCGGUGGCGAAGGCGGGACUCUGGGCCGAUACUGACGCUGAGGCGCGAAAGCCAGGGGAGCAAACGGG